rnacentral:lncRNA from 1 species
CCCUGCCUAGUCCCUUUCAUUUGAUGAGGGCAUCUCGUGGAAGAUUAUUGUGGGGAAAACUAUUCGUGUGUAUGCUACGUGGGCCAUCCCGUCAAACGUGGGGCCUUGUUUGCUAGGAUAGGGUCCACUUGGUUUAGAGAUUUUAUUAGAGUUUGAAUGGACCUACCGGCUUGUUGUCAACUCUUGUCUACAGUACUAUAUAAAGGGGCUGACUCCUCAAUAAAGCAGAGAAGAAUAUUAUUGUUUACUUUUAUCUACUUCAUAUGUCAAUAAUAAUUAGGGUUAUUUCAGAAGUACUUUCUCUGUUUCAAAAUAUCCGUCUUAAUUUUGUACUAGCUUUAAUACAAAGUUGUAUUGAGCUUAAGACACUUAUUUUGGAACAAAGGUAUCCUACCAAUUUGAUAUUGUAAUCAUCUAUGAUGGUCAACAAAGAAAUCAAGAUUGUAAUCAUCUAUGAUGGUCAACAAAGAAAUCAAGAUUGAGGUUGUGGAGCAGAUGGAUGAUAAUGAAUCAACUGGAGGCCUUUACUACCACUACAUGUGACUCAUCUAUAACCGAACUUUAAUAGAUUUAAUUAUUGCCAUGACAGAAGAGUUGCCAUUAAAAAUUAUUCAAGCUUGCACGACAGAAGGUUGCCCCUCCAUCCAUCAGUUUCCUUCGUAUCUUUAUCUACUAGAGGUUGGAUACCAUUUCUUCUAUAUUUGAGGUUGCAAAGAUAUUUAAGAUGUCUGUUUCCACACAAGUUUCCAUCUCCAUUUAUAUAUCUUUUGGUCCAAGAUCCUGAUAGGCGCAUAUUCACAUCUUGUAGAUUAGCUCCAAGAUGACCAAAUUACUUCUCAAUGCAAAUAGGCCCCCAAUAAGCUAGAUGGAGUUUUUCUUUCCUUGUGUCAUUCACACUCGUUCAAGAGGCUUGAGCCAUAUGAAUUUUACCAGAUCCAUGAAUGGACAUCUUUUCGUUGCUUGAGAAUAAAUGCCUAUGGAUGGACAUGUUACCAGAUCCAUUUGCUUUGCUUGUAACAUACAGUUGUUAUUCUUGUCAAGUGAAAUACGAGAAAAAGGACAACUUCAACAUUAGAAAAAUAAAUUACAAACUCUGGAACAAUGGAGGUUCAAAGAAAGCAACGAUGACGACAUGCGGGCAACGUGCGGCAAGCCGCGCCACCUAUCUAGUAAUCCAUGAUCCCAACUAGAAAACUGAAACGCGCCCCCGCGUCGCCCCUCCCCGCGGGCGACCCGGGCGGCGACUCCAGAUCCGGCCGUAGGCGACCUCUCUCACCCUCCCUUGCCUUCGCCGUCGGUCAGAGCCGCUCAGGCAAAGCCCCUUGUGGUGGCUAGCGGCGGGGCACCCUCUUUCCUCGUCUCGUGGUGGUGGGCGCGGGGUCCGGCGGCGCAACGACGAGGUCUUUUGGCAACGACAUGCUGUUGGUGGUGGCGCGGCGGCGAUGGGGCACCUGCUUGGCACGCGACAGCUGCGGGUGGGGUUCGAAUCCGGAUCUCAGGCAGCUGCGGGUGGUUCCCCUCCCGACGACGAUGGCCUAUGGGCUCGCUGCGGGGCGCGUUGCCUCCUGGUGGGACGUGUCUCCCUCUGCCUGGCGGAGCUCAGGGCCUCGCCCGCUCGGAGCUGGCGCUAGGGAGUGAAAGGCGCGGGCUGUGCACGGCGUGGACCUGGGGCUGCUGCUGGUCGUGAUGGGGGCGGUGUUGUUGGGUAUGACGGGGGGGGGGGGGGGGNNNNNNNNNNNNNNNNNNNNNNNNNNNNNNNNNNNNNNNNNNNNNNNNNNNNNNNNNNNNNNNNNNNNNNNNNNNNNNNNNNNNNNNNNNNNNNNNNNNNNNNNNNNNNNNNNNNNNNGGGGGGGGGGGGGGGUGCCGGCGAUCGGUGUCAGUUUGGCCGGCUCCGGCUCGUCGGUGAUUGUUGACGAUGAGGUUGGUGGCUCCUGCGUGGCGGUGACGCCGUCGUCUCGUAGGAAGUGUGUGGGAUGGCGGGCUUGCGGACCGGUGGUGCUGCAUCGCCGGUUGCGUGGGGAUGCUCGACGAGGUGGCUCCGGGCGAAAGCCUAGACGGUACGACGUCCAUGGACGUNNNNNNNNNNNNNNNNNNNNNNNNNNNNNNNNNNNNNNNNNNNNNNNNNNNNNNNNNNNNNNNNNNNNNNNNNNNNNNNNNNNNNNNNNNNNNNNNNNNNNNNNNNNNNNNNNNNNNNNNNGACGUCCAUGGACGUCGUUUUCCUCCUUGGGGGUCGUUGUGGAUCCUCUCCUCGCCCAGCACCUUCGGACCAUGGCCAUCGAGCAAAAGCGUAAGACUCCAAAGCGAGUCGGGUGACGACGUCGUUCCCACAUCGCUACCUCCUUGGGGUGUUACCUUGAGGGUCAUCGGUCUCCUUCGUGCUUUCCCGGAUCUGGACAUGCACAACAUCAUGGUCGGCAGGUGCCCGACUGACGAUGUGGUUGGUGCGACUUCUUGUGUGGCUAUGAUGGCGGCUUCGGGCGGAGUUGGUCUGCUGUUGAGUUUUGGUAGUCGGUCUCAUCCGGCGUGUUCAAGGGGUUGCCGCGCCACACUUUGUCUUUCUAGAGUCGGAGUUGCUGAGGCAGGGACUUGCGGUGACGAUGACGCGAGGUGGGUGGUGGGUUGUGGUGCUGGCUUGGCUCAGGCUCAAUACUUUUCUCCUACAAUGUUCGUCGAUAGAGUCGGAACUGUCUGGUAAUUGACGCGUGCGGUUGACUAUUUGGCAGUGGCCGACAUGGCCCUCGGCGUUUGCUUGCGGUGAGGGCUAUGUUGAUGGUCGUCGAUGGUGGAGUCGGAGUCGCCCUUGGGUAGGUCUGAUGGCGAUGACACCGGGUUGCAGCCUCGAGGAUGUUCUCUCCUCGGCGACGUGUGUGCGUUCUUAUGUGGGUUGCCAUGUCGCCCUGUUGUCCGUUAAUCAACCGGGCAAUUCUCGUCUUCUUAAUUAAUGAGAUGAGGCAAAGCUUUUGUUUCUGUUAAAAAAAAUGAUCCCAGCUACAACGACACACACACAUGCACGCACGCACGCAGCGAUAGACAUACAAUUCAAAGUAGCAACCAUGCCGAAUAUCAUGUUGGCGCUUCUCCUAAUCCUCCCCCUCCUCUUCCAGGCCACACACAAAAUCCAUGAGGCCUUGUUUGGUUAAUCCUCUUUCCGUGAGGAUUGAAGGGGAUUUUAAUUUAUUAGGGAUUUAAUCUUCUCGAUCCUUGUCAAAUUCCUUUCACUUUCCUAUCAACCGAACAAGGCCUAACCGAUUUUCUUAGAAAAAAAAAUCCAUGGCACCAUAAGCUUGGAUUUGAUUUUCUUCAAAAUCUCACAAUAAAUAAAUCUAUACCUAAUAAUAAAGCGGCUAUUGCUUCCAUCGAAAAACCCACCGCGGCAUUUUUAUAAAAAACCCUGUAAUUUUUUUUAUUCAACCCGCGCCCCAUCAUUUAUCUGCAACGCAAAAGGAAAAAAUGAUUCGCUGCAAAAAUUAUACCCGUACGCAUCGCCUCCUCCCGUCGACCCUGGUCCAUCCUGGCCUGUGCCCAGGCCGCCGCCACACCACUCACCGCCGCGGCCGACCUCAACCGCCACCGCUGCCGAUCUCAACCCACAUGCCUCCGCGACCGUACCUCUCCCCGCUCACUGCCCCUGUUGCGGUGCUCGAGCGCAUCGCGUCGACCCUGGUCCACCCUGGCAUGUGCCCAGGCCGCUGCUACACCACUCGCCGCCACGGCCGACCUCAACCACCACUAUUGUCGAUCUCAACCCACCCGCCUCCGCGGUCGUACCUCUGCCCGCUUGCUGCCCCCGUUUCGGCGCUCGAGCACAACUUCUGGAUCAAAUCAACGCGACAUCUACAGUGACUGGGGAUGAUGCGUCUGCUCGAUGCAGAACGGCGGCGGCGCGCGAAUAAGGCGCGUCGGAGCGAAGUACUUGCAGGUGGAGUACAAUCAAGAAUUAUGGAGAAAUAUUUAGCUUCUUUAAUAAUUUGUAAGAUAGAACUAGUAACACUAGAGGCCAAUAGAGAAAUCAACUCAUUCUGAAUUUUGUGGCUGAGAUAGUGAUGAUAAAUUUCAUCGUUCUGAAUUCUUCUAAGAUGUUCCUGCAUUAGUGGAUCAAAUUCAGCAAUCAUCUCUACACAUGCCAAAAAUUUACCAUUGUUAUGUUGAUAAAGUUUCUCACUAGAUCCACGGAAAGCCAAGUUACGGUUACCAAGAUAUUUAACAAUUGCUACUAAUCUCACUAACACUUGUCUCAAAUGUUCUUUCUCCUUAUUAAUCUGCUGUUGCAAUCCUUAUCAAUGGUUUUAUUUUUGGCCAGUCUAACUUUUAACUCAUUCCAAGUGUUCAUGGUUUUAAUGUGUUCUACACCAUUUUCAUGUUCUUUAAGCCUCUCGCUAAGAUGCUUCCAGUCACUAAAACCAUUACCAGCUAACGCACUCUUGUUGCUAUGGGAUUUGAAAAGCUUGCAACAAAAACAGUACACUUUGUUAGCAUGUUCAGAGUAAACCAAUCAUUUCCUGGCAUGUACCUCUCCAUUCCUCAACUUUCUGGAAUAAUAAGACAGUGAAAAAUGUCUAGAAUUACUAUCUAGAGGGAACACAAUAUCAUCAUUCCUUACCCACAUUAAUAUCCAGAUUAAUAUCCUUCUCAACUAAAAUAUCCCUUGCAUUAUCAUCCAGAUUAUCCCAGUUUCGUGGGUCAAAAAUAUCAACAGUGGAUGGUUCUUGUUUAUCGACACUCGGUGCAGGGCCCUGACUCGGUGAUUCACAAUUUGAUGAACGAGUUACAUUUUCAUGCUUGUUGGAAUUACCAUUACCCACAUCCAUAUCAUCAUCAGUAGCAUUUGCAUUCUCAGUUGGUUGUUCAACACAUACUAUGGCCAAUUCCAGGGGACCUCUAGAAGAACUACCAGGUUUGAAAUAUCUGUUAAGUGAUCGUUUUAGAGAUUUUACCUCUUCAUCUUUUUGCUUUUUUAUCUUCCUUUUGUUACUACCAGAUAAAUGCUUUCUAAAGGACAUGUUACUUAUCAAGAACAAGCAUCAUAAAAUGAUUAAAACAGGGAACAAAGGCACCUAAAUGUUGAUGUAGGUGGCCAAAUCAGCAGAUCCGUGAGUGGCAGUCAGCAUGACCCUUCUCCAGUUCUGCAGUUCAGUUGUUCGAUGUGCAGGUGAUUUGUUUCACCAGGAAGAAAAAAUCUGUUCUAAAAGAAAGUGAAGAACCUGAUUACCUGAAACAGAUCAGCUGAAACAAACCAGCUUCGGCCCCUCCCUGUAGCCCUCCUGGCUUGGCCCAAAAGCCCCCUGAUCUUCUUCCGUUCGGGAAAAAAAUCAUUUCGGGGAUUUUAUUCCGUUUGGACUCCGUUCCAAAAUCAGAUCUGAAAAGAGCCAAAAACACAGAAAAAAUAGGAACUGGCACUUGGCACUGAAUUAAUAAGUUAGUCCCCAAAAAGAUAUAAAAGGUACAUAAAACAUCCAAAGAUGACAAGAUAACAACAUGAAACCAUAAAAAAUUAUAGAUACGUUUGCGACGUAUCAAGGGCUCCUUGGAUGAAAAGCAUGAUUGCAAUGGUUUCACUAUAAAUUCUAUUAGUGACAAUCAUGCUAAAAAUAUGCAAAACCCUAAGCUUGGGGAUGCUAGUUUUGCUUUGUACACUACUUGUUGCAAUGAUCAUGAGUGGGGCGAUGAUUUUUCUUAUGAUCUUGAAAAUUUGUUUAAGCAUCAUGAUGAAUAUGAUAUUUGCAAUAAUAUUGAAAGUGUGUUUGGAGAACUCAUGACUUCAUUUGAUGAUAAUCCCACUAUUUUUGAAGAGCGUCAACUUUGCAUGCAUGUGGAUCAUGAAAAGAAUAUCCUAUGUGAUAGCUAUAUUGUUGAAUUUGAUUAUGAUCCCACAUGUAAUUGCUAUGAGAGAGGAAAAUAUUGUGGUAGAAACUUUCAUGUUACCAAAUUACCUCUCGUUAUGUUGAGAUUGCUAUUGUCUCUUUCUUCUUCCUUGCAUUUGGUAACUAUUGGUUGUCUUGCCAAUUUGUUUUCCUAUAAAAUGCCUAUGCAUAGGAAGUAUGUUAGACUUAGAUGUGAUUUUCACAUGCUUUAUGAUGCUCUCAUUGUGCUUCAACUCUUGUCUUUUGUGUGAGCAUCAUUGAUGCCUAGCUAAGGGCGUUAAAAAAUAGCGCUUGUUGGGAGGCAACCCAACGAAUCUAUGCUUUUUAUUUCUGUUUUGUGUUUUCCACACUUUCAUAAUUCUGUUAUGAUUGUGCUUUUUGUGUUUCUUUUUGCGUUUGUGCCAAGUAAAACCGUUAUGAUUAGUCUUGGGGAUGAUCGUUUGGUCAUGCUGGAAAAGACAGAAACUUUCUGCUCAUGAAAAGAACUUUCAAUUUUUUUUUUCUGUAAGAGCUUUUGAGUUGAUUCUUUUUGCUGCUGAUUGCUAUGCAAAUUCUUCAGACUGUCGUAAUUUUUCAGAAUUGUUGAAGUACAAGAAGUAUACAAGUAUACAGAUUGCUACAGACUGGUCUGCUGUUAACAAAUUCUGUUUUUGUUGAGUUGGUUGCUUAUUUUGAUGAAACCAUGGAUAGUAUCGGGGGUAUUAGCCAUGGAAGAUUGAAAAUAUAGUAACCCAACAUCAAUAUAAGUAGAAUUUAAGUUUGCUACAAUACCUAAGGAAGUGGUGGUUUGCUUUCUUAUACUAAUGUUAUCACGAGUUUCUGUUUAAGUUUCGUGUUGUGAAGUUUUCAAGUUUUGGGUGAAGUUCUUAUGGACAAAGAGAUAAAGAGUGGCAAGAGCUCAAGAUUGGGGAUGCCCAAGGCACCCCAAGUUUAUUCAAGGAUGCCGUAAAAGCCUAAGCUUGGGGAUGCCCCAGGAAGGCAUCCCCUCUUUCGUCUUCAAUCCAUCGGUAACGUUACUUGGGGCUAUAUUUUUAUUCACCACAUGUUAUUUGUUUUGCUUGGAGCGUAUUGUAUCGUAGGAGUCUUUUAUUUUUGUUUUGUCACAAUCUUCCUUGCUGCACACCUAGAGAGAGAUACAUGCACUCACCGUGAUUUUGUCGAGCUUCACUUAUAUCCUUUGGUUAGACAAUUCAGCUCACAUGUGCUUCACUUAUAUCUUUUGAGCUAGUUGAUUUUGCUCUAUGUGCUUCACUUAUAUCUUUUAGAGCACAGCGGUGCGUGGCUUGGUAGUUGGCUUAUGCUAUGAAAGUAGUCUCAGAAGGGGUAGUUAUCCAAAGGGAUAUGAAAACUUCCACCUUCAUGUGCAUUGAGUAGUUAGAGAAGUUUGAUUCCUCUCAAUUAGUUUUGAGUUGUGGUUGUGGUAAUAUUGAAGUUAUGCUAGUAAGGUGUUGUGGAUCAAGAAAUACUUGUGUUGAAUUUAGUGAUUCCCGUAGCAUGCACGUAUGGUGAACCGCUAUGUGAUGAAGUCUGAGCAUGAUUAGUCUAUUGAUUGUCAUCCUUUGUGUGGCGGUCGGGAUCGCGCGAUGAUGCGUUGAAUGCUUUGUUUUGAUUACUACUAAAACUUUUGCAACAAGUAUAUGAGUUCUUCAUGACCAAUGUUGAGUCCAUGGUUUAGAUGCACUUUCACCUUCCACCAUCAUUAUCUUCUUUAGUGCCGUGCAGCUUUCGCCGGAGCACAAAACCCACCAUUAGCCUCCCUCAAAACAGCCACCAUACCUACCUACUAUGGGUUUUUCAAAGCUAUUCGGAGAUGUAUUGCCAUGCAAUUACCACCAUUACAUGUGCCAUCACUUCUACAUUGCCAUUGCAUGAUCGUAAUAUAGCUAGCAUGAUGUUUCCAUUGAUGUCUAUGACAUGCUAGAUCAUUGUCACGGUACACUACCGAAGGCAUUCCAUAUAGAGUCAUCAUUGCUCUAACUUUUGAGUUGUAAGUGUGAUGAUCAUCAUUGAUGGAGCAUUGUCCCAUGUGAGGAAAUAAAAGAGGCUAGCGAAGCCCAUUUACAAAAAGAGGCCAAAGAUGCCCACCAAAAUAAAAAAUAAUAAUAAAAAAAGAGGCCAAAGAGCCCACAAAAAAAUAAUGAGAGAAAAAGAGAGAAGGGACAAUGCUACUAUCCUUCCACACUUGUGCUUAUUAAGCACCAUGAUCUUCAUGAUUGAGAGUCUCUCGUUUUGUCACCACCAUAUAGCUAGUGAGAAAUUUUCAUUAUAUAACUUGGCUUGUAUAUUCCAAUGACAGGCUUCCUCAAAAUUGCCUUAGGUCUUCGUGAGCAAGCAAGUUGGAUGCACACCCACUAGUUUUCUUUAAGAGCUUUCACAUACUCUUAGCUCUAGUGCAUCAUUUUUAUGGCAAUCCCUACUCAUUCACAUUGAUAUCUAUUGAUGAGCAUCUCCAUAGCUCAUUGAUAUGCCUAGUUAAUGUGACCAUCUUCUCCUUGUUUGUCUUGCAACCUCCACCACACUCCAUUCCACCUAUAGUGCUAAAACCAUGGCUCACGCUCAUGUAUUGCGUGAGAGUUGAAAAAGUUUUAGAAAGUAAAAGUGUGAAAACAAUUACUUGGCUAAUACCGAGGUUGUGCAUGAUUUAAAUUCGUUGUGCAAGGAUGAUAGAUCAUAGCAAGACAAUAUGCUUUUGUAGGAAUAACUUUCUUUUGGCCUUGUUAUUUUGAAAGUUCAUGAUUACCUUGCUAGUUUGCUUGAAGUAUUAUUGUUUCCACAUCAAUAGAAAACUAUUGUUUUGAAUCUAAUGGAUCUGAACAUUCAUGUCACAUAAGAGGAGUUACAAAGGACAUCUAUUCUAGGUAGCAUGAAAGCAUCAAAAAUUCAUUCUUUAUCACUUCCCAACUCGAGGACGAGCAUGAGUUAAGCUUGGGGAUGCUUGAUACGUCUCAAACGUAUCUAUAAUUUUAGAUGGUUUCAUGCUGUUAUCUUGUCAACUUUGGAUGUUUUAUAUACCUUUUAUAUCUUUUUUGGGACUAACUUAUUAAUUCAAUGCCAAGUGCCAGUUCCUGUUUCUUCUGUGUUUUUGACUCUUUUCAGAUCUGAUUUUGGAACGGAGUCCAAACGGAAUAAAAUCCCGGAAAUAAUUUUUUCCAGAACAGAAGAAGAUCGGGGGACUUGAGGGCCAAGGCAGGAGAGCCACAGGGAGCCCACAAGCCCUGUAGCCACCACCAGGGGGGCCGACGGGUACCAGGCUUGUGGCCCCCGUGGAGCUCCCCUGCCCUAGCUUUUUUGCCUAUAUAUUCCCUAAAAUCCUAGAAAAAAUCAGGGCAUCCACGAAAACACUUUUUCGCCGCCGCAAGCUUCCGUUUCCGCGAGAUCUCAUCUGGAGACCCUUCCCGGUGCCCUGCCGGAGGGGACUUUGGAGUUGGAGGGCUUCUACAUCAACAUCAUCGCCUCUCCAAUGACUCGUGAGUAGUCCACUUCAGACCUACGAGUCCGUAGUUAGUAGCUAGAUGGCUUCUUCUCUCUCUUGGAUCUUCAAUACAAAGUUCUCCAUGAUCUUCAUGGAGAUCUAUCCGAUGUAUUCCUCUUUGGUGGUGUGUUUGUCGAGAUCCGAUGAAUUGCGGAUUUGUGAUCAGAUUAUCUAUGAAUUAUAUUUGAGUCUUUGCUGAUUUCUUAUAUGCAUGAUUUGAUAUCCUUGUAAGUCUCUCCGAGUCUUGGGUUUUGUUUGGCCAACUAGAUCUAUGAUUCUUGCAAUGGGAGAAGUGCUUGGUUUUGGGUUCAUACCGUGCGGUGACCUUUCCCAGUGACAGAAGGGGCAGCAAGGCACGCAUCAUGUUGUUGCCAUCAAGGGUAACAAGAUGGGCUUUCAUCAUAGAUUUGAGAUUGUUCAUCUACAUCAUGUCAUCUUGCUUAAGGCGUUACUAUGUUCUUUUGGACUUAAUACACUAGAUGCAUGCUGGAUAGCGGUCGACGUGUGGAGUAAUAGUAGUACAUGCAGAAAGUAUCGGUCUACUUGUUUUGAACGUGAUGCCUAUAGAUAUAAUCAUUGCCAUAGAUAACGUCACGACUUUGUGCGGUUCUAUCAAUUGCUCGACUGUAAUUCGUUCACCCACUGAUGGGGUUAUAGUCCCAGGGUAGGGUCAUAGGCCUGCCCUAUAGGUCCUACCCAAGGACUACCCUUCAUAGAGGACAAGGCCCUUAGACAGUUCCGACUGAACUAAGUGCCUCCCCCAUCAUCCAGUCGGCGACGAGCAUUCGGAGCAUAUUUAACGUACCGACUGGAAUCCACUCUGUACAUCGUAACCUCCCAGGAGGGCAACGGUCAUACGUUUUCAUACACCAUUAUUAACAUUUAAGGCUUACGUUACCUGUAACGUAAGCAUUUAUUUGCCACUAUUCCACCCCUGUCCACCGGGCCAUUAUGAAGGGCAACGCACUCUAUAUAAGCCGCCCUCCCCACUGGUGCGGGGGUUGGCUUUUACUGUAAUCCUAUAAUCCACUCGACACUAAAGCUCCCAAGAGCACUGAGACGUAGGGCUUUUACCUCCACCGUAGAGGGGCCUGAACUCAUACAUCCUCGCCGUAGCUAAGGCUCUGCUAUCCUUUCGUACCCUACACUUCUACUGUCAUACUUAUACCCACGACAGUUGGCGCCUACCGUGGGGCAGGCGUCUAAGCGACUUCCGGCGAGUUUGCGAUUUCAUCUUUUCAUCAUGUCGUCCGGCAGAGAUCUGUGCAUGGAUCAUGAGAUCCUCUUCUGCGCACUCUCCUUCAUCGUCGACGAUUCGGCAUGGCUUCGGGAUGCGCCCCUCGACGUCAAGGCACUCCCCAGUCGCGGGGCUACACACUUCCCUGCCGGUUCCCGCGGCGUCCUCCUUCUCCAGCCAUCGGCCCCGGUGUCGAUCUUCGCCCCUGUCACGCGCUGCAACAAACGGUCCCGUCGUCCGUGGCUCCAACGUUGGGUGCGACACGCCCAGGCGCGACAGAACGCGUCCUCUCAAGUGGCGGUCCUUGAAUCGGUUAUAGUCGUGCCGCCAUCCCAGUGCUUGGACUCAGUUCCGACUGAGUUACCUUCCGAGUACUUGGGUCGCGGGCCUGCAACCGAAGUUCUCAUGGUUGAUUCCCAUGAAAGAAUCAUCCGGCGCUCGUCGUCAACACUAUCGUUCUGCCAGUCGACGCACUCGCGAGAGCAACGUCGAGGUGUUCCGCACACCCAUCCUCAACCUGGCUGUCGCUGCCAGGAUAGCCGAUUCUCUCCAGCCGACUAAUUCAGAGGCUGGUAGAGGGAUCGAGCAGAUCCGUGCCCUGUUGCAUAUGGCGCAGCAACAGAAUUCGGCGGUCUCCCAGUCGCACAAUAGGAUCGACAACAGUUCUGUUCACGCGAACACGCAUUGGUCGGUUUUCAGCCCCGACUCUCAUCAGCGAUGCAGGGGGGGGGCAGCCGUUCCAGGAAUGUCGAAGAUCGUCGCCGUUCGCGCAUUCCUCCGCGGGAUGGGCCUUACGGGCCCCGGCAUCACGAUGAUCGUCGUUCAGUCGGCGACGCGCAUGAUCCCAGGCCAGAUGCAAGAGUGUACAUCGCCCAGAAGAAGGUCGACAGAAGUCGAGCCCACCGUGAUGGUCACGAUAGAGACCGUCCGAGUGGAGGCAGGACCGUCGUUUCUGGUCCCGAGUGCUUCAGUCGGACCAUCCGCUCAGGUGACAUCCCUCUCAACUUCCGAUUGGCGACGGGGAUCAGCAAGUUCACAGGAGAGUCCAAACCAGAAACUUGGUUGGACGACUAGAGAGUGGAAGUCCAAGUCGCCAUGAAACAUCUCCCCCUGAUGCUCGACGGCUCGGCGCGAGCUUGGCUGAACUAGUUUGCUCUGUCAAGCAUCUACAGCUGGGCAGAUCUGUCCCAAGUCUUCAUCAAGACCUUCGAGGGUACGUGCAAGCGCCCUGCUGGUCUCGUGGAGCUCCAACACUGUGUCCAGAAGCAGAACGAGCCCCUGCGCGAUUUCAUCUAGCGCUGGAUGACCCUCUACCACACGAUGGAGAACGUCACAGAGCACCAAGCAGUCUGCGCCUUCAAGGCAGGCGUGCGGUACAGAGAUCUGUACCUGAAGUUCAGUCAGACAUGAGACAUCUCCAUGAGCAAGAUGAUGGAGAUAGCCGCACGCUAUGCAAAUGGCGAAGAGGAGGACCGCAUACGUAGCGGCAAGCAUAAGGCUAUCGCCGAUGGAGAUGGGAACAACAAUCAGAAGCAGAAGGAGAAAGCUCCAUCGUCUCCACAGGCAGAGGCAGCAGCCGUUACAAAUGCUAAGUUCAAGGGCAAGGGGAAAGCUCAGUUCACCCCCAAGAAGAAACAGUUCGGAAACUCCGUCCUGGAUCAGCCGUGUCCAAUCCACACGAAGAUGGAUGAAGAAGGCAAUCCCAUAUUCCCGAAGCAUACCACUCGGCAGUGUCGCCUCCUGAUCCAAGGAUUCGGUGAAGGGCAGCCGAGUGAAAAGGACAACGAGCAGGAUGAUGAGGACAAGGAGGAUCCGUUCCCCCAAGUCCAUGCAACAUUGAUGAUUUUUGCUGAUGUGGAAAGCAAAAGUCGACUGAAGCUGGUGAACACGGAGGUGAACAUGGCAACCCCAACCACCCCCACGUUCCUCAAGUUGUCACAGACUGCGAUCACCUUUGAUCAGUCAGACCAUCCAGCACACGUACCCACCCCAGGGAGGCAAGCUCUGGUCGUCGACCCGGUGGUUGAAGGAGUCCGACUGCGCAAAGUCCUCAUGGACGGCGGCAACGGCUUGAACAUCAUGUACGCUGACACUCUCAAGGGGAUGGGCAUUCCGAUGUCCAAACUUAGCGAGAGCAGCAUGCAGUUCCACGGAGUCGUCCCAGGACGAAAGGCCAAGUCACUCGGCCAGAUCGCGUUGGAUGUCGUCUUCGGCUCCGACAAGAACUUCCGCAAGGAAAAGCUGACAUUCGAGGUGGUGGACUUCCAGAGUGCAUACCAUGCGUUUCUGGGCCGUCCGGCGUAUGCGCGUUUUAUGGCCCAUCCGUGUUACGUGUAUUUGAAGCUGAAGAUGCCAGGUCCCAAAGGUGUGAUCACGGUCACAGGUAAUCGGCAACGAGCCAAGGAGUGUCUGCAGCAGGGGUCGAGGAUUACCGAUCAACAGAUGGCUAUCCUCGAGCUGGAUGAAUACAAGAAGACCGCCGACCCCGCUGACCUGAUGCGUUCGAAGAAGCCAGCUUCGGAGUCAGCAUUCCAGUCGGCGGGAGACACGAAGAAAGUCAGCAUCCACCCGACGGACGAUGCCACUGCACCGACGAACAUCUCCACCACCCUUGAUCCAAAAUAGGAAGCCGAGCUCAUCCAAUUCCUCCGUGAGAACUGGGACAUUUUUGCAUGGAAGCCCGCUGACAUGCCAGGUGUACCCAGGGAGUUGGAUGAGCACCGACUGCAUGUGGAUCCUGCUGCUUGGCCCGUCCGAGAACGCCUACGUCGGUCCGCCGUGCACAAGAGGAAGGCAAUCAGAGAGGAGGUGGCUAAACUUUUGGCAGCCAACUUCAUUCGCGAGGUACACCACUCCGAGUGGCUCACCAAUGUUGUCAUUGUGCCCAAGAAGGACAAGUCUCUUCGUAUGUGCAUCGAUUUCAAGCAUCUCAAUAAGGUCUGCCCGAAAGAUCACUUCCCGCUCCCCCGCAUUGAUCAAAUUGUUGAUUCGACUGCGGGUUGCGAGCGUUUAUCAUUCCUUGAUGCCUAUUCGGGCUAUAAUCAGAUCCGUCUGUAUGGUCCGGAUGAAUUAAAAACAGCCUUCAUCACCCAAUUCGGGUGUUUCUGCUACAUCACUAUGCCAUUCGGUUUGAAGAAUGCAGGAGCAACUUUUAUGCGCAUGACCCAAAAAUGCCUCCUAGACCAGAUCGGUCGAAAUGUGGAGGCAUAUACGGAUGAUAUCGUAGUCAAGUCACGCAAAGGUUCCGACCUGCUGACUGACUUGGCAGAAACAUUCGCCAACCUACGUAGGUACAAUAUCAAACUCAACCCAGCCAAAUGUUCAUUCGGCGUUCACAGCGGGAAGUUACUCGGUUUCUUCGUUUCCGAACGAGGGAUCGAUGUGAACCCCGAAAAUAUCGGGACCAUCGUCCGAAUGGAGCGGCCGGUAAGAAUGCAUGAUGUUCAAAGGCUCACAGGUUGCCUAGCGGCUUUGAGCAGGUUUAUCGCUCGACUCAGCGAGAAGGCCUUACCUCUGUACCGACUCAUGAAGAAAUCACAUACCUUCGAGUGGACAGACGAAGCCCAAAUUGCAUUCGACGACCUCAAAGCCCUGCUUUCCACCCAACCGGUUCUUACUUCCCCGCUCAGUAAAGAACCCAUUCUUCUGUACAUCGCGGCUACAAAUCAAGUCGUCAGCACCGUUCUGACAGUCGAACGUGAAGAAGAAGGCAAAGCGUACAAGGUUCAGCGGCCAGUAUAUUAUGUCUCCGAAGUCCUGACUCCUUCCAAGCAGAGGUAUCCCCAUUAUCAGAAGCUUAUUUAUGGGAUCUACAUGAUUGCAAAGAAGGUGGCUCAUUAUUUCCAAGACCACUCGGUGUCUGUCAUAUCUGAUGCUCUGUUGGCGGAAAUUCUCCACAAUCGGGACGCAUUAGGCAGAGUGGCAAAGUGGGCAAUGGAUAUUCUAUAAUGCGACAUCAAGUUCGAAGCCAAGAAGGCUAUAAAGUCUCAAGCUCUGGCUGACUUCAUAGCAGAAUGGGUAGAACAACAGCAACCGACUCACAUCUACUCGGCUCAUUGGACCAUGUUCUUCGAUGGGUCCAAGAUGUUGAAUGGCUCCGGCGCUGGCGUAGUGAUCAUAUCGCCAAAAGGUGAUAAACUCAAGUAUGUGUUGAAGAUACAUUUUGAUUCUUCCAACAACGAGGCAGAGUACGAAGCUCUCCUUUACGGACUGCGCAUGGCCAUCACACUCGACGUCCGUCGCCUCAUGGUCUAUGGUGACUCAGAUCUGGUGGUUAAUCAAGUGAUGAAGGAAUGGGACGCGAGGAACCCCACCAUGACUACAUACUGCAACGCGGUAAGGAAGCUCGAGAAGAAGUUUGAAGGUCUGGAACUUCACCAUGUUCCCCGACUGAAAAACCAAGCAGCAGUUGAAUUGGCAAAACUUGGAUCCACUCGGAGACCGGUCCCGAGUGAUGUCUGCCUCGAGCACCUACACCUCCCCUCGGUGAAGGAAGAUCCUUUUACAGAGGAACCAGUUCAACCGAAGAGCUCUACAGAUCCGACUGAAGUCGAGGUCCCCGCUGUGGUUGAGUUGAUCAUGGAGAUUCUUGCUGUCAUCCCCGAAUGGACUGAGUCGUUCAUUGCGUACAUCCUGAGGCAAGAGUUACCAGAAGACGAAGUCCAAGCUAGGCAGAUCGUCCGCAGGUCGAAGUCCUUCACCGUCAUUGAUGGCCAGUUGUACAAGGAAAGUGUUUCGAGCGUCCUUCAGCGGUGCAUCUCCCGUGAGGAGGGACAAUUAAUCUUGGAAGAAAUUCACUCGGGAACCUGCGGUCAUCAUGCCUCCUCAAGAGCAAUCGUCACCAAAGCAUUCAGAGCUGGUUUCUUCUGGUUGCAGGCGAAUGAAAUGGCAAAAGAUAUGGUCGACCGAUAUGAAGGCUGUCAGUUUUAUUCGAACAAGUCCCACAAGCCAACAUCUGCGCUGAAGACAAUUCCUCUUGUUUGGCCGUUCGCCAUGUGGGGAUUAGAUACAGUCGGACCAUUCAGAAUAGGCCAAGGAGGAUUCACUCAUCUGCUGGUAGCAGUCGACAAGUUUACCAAGUGGACUGAAGCCAAGCCCAUCGAGAAGCUUGACGCCCUUACGACCAUCAAAUUUAUCAGAGACAUCAUCGCCAGAUUCGGGGUUCCGCACAACAUAAUCACCGACAACGACACAAACUUCGACUCAGACAGGUGCAAAGGCUUUUGCACAGGCCAAGGAAUCCGAGUGGAUUUUGCAUCCGUGGCGCACCCCCAAACAAACGGGCAAGCAGAGCGGGCGAAUGGAUUGAUUCUUCAAGGGUUGAAGCCUCGCCUCCUGCGAGAAGUUGGACAUGCCACCGGCGCAUGGGUCACCGAGCUGCCUUCGGUGCUGUGGGGCCUCCGCACAACUCCGAAUAGGUCUACAGGGCGAUCCCCGUUCUUCCUCGUUUAUGGAGCAGAGGCAGUCCUUCCGAGUGACUUGCUUCACAACUCUCCACGAGUCGAACUCUUCUCCGAAGCCGAAGAGGAGCAAGCCAGGCAAGACGGAGUGGAUCUUCUAGAAGAGGAGCGCGAGAUGGCACUGACUCGCUCAACGAUUUAUCAACAAGGUCUGCGACGAUUUCACGCACGGCAGGUCAGGAGUCGCACGUUCCAAGUAGGCGACCUGGUGCUCCGAGUGGAUUAGCAGAGACCACACAAGUUGGCUCCCGCCUGGGAAGGACCCUGCAUCAUCUCUAAGGUGCUGAACAACGGAGCAUAUCGACUCUACAACCUCGACAGGGAAACGGACGAGCUGCGAUCAUGGAAUGGAGAUCUCCUGAAGCGCUUCUAUACAUGACCGCCGAUGGAGACAAUGUAAAGAACAAGUAUCAUUGAAGUAAUAUAAAGCAGAUUGAUUUCUUGCCGAUUCAAAAUUCUUCCGCGUUUGCAGACUCCGGUCUAAAAAACUAACUCCGAGUGUGCACUAAAAGUUGCACUCGGGGACUUAGCUGCGACCCAGAGUCGCCUAACUAAAAAACUAACUCCGAGUGUGCACUAAAAGUCGCACUCGGGGACUUAGCCGCGACCCAGGGUCGCCUAAGUACAAACUCGCUCCGAGUGUGCACUAAAAGUCGCACUCGGNNNNNNNNNNNNNNNNNNNNNNNNNNNNNNNNNNNNNNNNNNNNNNNNNNNNNNNNNNNNNNNNNNNNNNNNNNNNNNNNNNNNNNNNNNNNNNNNNNNNNNNNNNNNNNNNNNNNNNNNNNNNNNNNNNNNNNNNNNNNNNNNNNNNNNNNNNNNNNNNNNNNNNNNNNNNNNNNNNNNNNNNNNNNNNNNNNNNNNNNNNNNNNNNNNNNNNNNNNNNNNNNNNNNNNNNNNNNNNNNNNNNNNNNNNNNNNNNNNNNNNNNNNNNNNNNNNNNNNNNNNNNNNNNNNNNNNNNNNNNNNNNNNNNNNNNNNNNNNNNNNNNNNNNNNNNUCGGGGACUUAGCUGCGACCCAGAGUCGCCUAAGUGCAAACUCGCUCCGAGUGUGCACUAAAAGUCGCACUCGGAGACUUAGCUACGACCCAGAGUCGCCUAAGUACAAACUCGCUCUGAGUGUGCACUAAAAGUCGCACUCGGAGACUUAGCUGCGAUCCAGAGUCGCCUGAGUAACAACUCACUCCGAGUGUGCAUGAAAAGUCACAUUCGGGGACUUAGCUGCGACUCAGAAUCGCCUAAGUAAAAGCUUCCUCCGAAUGUAUACUCGAGAUACACUCGGAGGCUUAGUACACCCUCAUUGAGACUCAUGUGGAUGUGAAGACAACUACAUGAGUAACAAUUCACUUCGAGUGUGCAUGAAAAGUUGCACUCGGGGACUUAGCUGCGACUCAGAGUUGCCUAAGUAAAAAGCUUCCUCUGAGUAUAUACUCGAGAUACACUCGGAGUUUUAGCAGAUCCUCAUUGAGACUCAUGUGGAUGUGAAGACAACUGACAACUACAUGAGUAACAACUCGCUUCGAGUGCGCACUAACAGUCGCACUCGGGGACUUAGCCGCGACCCAGAGUCGCCUAAGUAAUGACUCGUUCCGAGUGCGCACUAACAGUCACACUCGGAGACUUAGCCACGACCCAGAGUCACCUAAGUAAAAGCUCGCUCCGAGUGCACACUCGGAGACUUGGCAGACCCUCAUUGAGGCUCAUGUGGAUGUGAAGACAACUGACAACUACAUGCUCCGCAUGUUAGCCAUUGGCUUCAUCAAGAAACGCCAAACAAAAACCACGAGCCAAAAUCGUGUCAACAAAAACUUAGCGAAAGAAGAGCAAAAGAUCCGAUUCAAAUUCAAAGUUGGAUCUACGACCAGUUGGCUCGGUGUGAAUCAAGCUUAUCCACACCGAACCACGAAUGUGACGGCCAACAACAGUGGCCAAAGUUUAAUACAGAUACCACUCGGCAUACCGAGUUUAAGGUACGUUCACCAAAAGUUUUUUCAAGCGUCACCGGGACUGGCAGGCUCCACAAAGGUGUCAAGGUCGAUUCCGUCUGCAAUGCGAGUGGCUGUGUCGAGGAAGGUCUCCAUGAAAUCUUCAAAUCGAAGCUUCUUGGUGUUGGCGACCUGCAACGUCUUCAGUUUUUCUUCGCGAGCUUCCUUGCAGUGCACUCGGACCAGAGAUGGCGCCACGUCCGCACCGCAGCGAGCGGCAGACUUCUUCCAUGCCUGCACUUUGCUUGGGACGUCCUCCAGCCGAGUCAUCAACCCAUCUAUUUCUUGCCGGGAGUCGUGUUCUGGCCACAACUCCUUGUCGAUUCAGCCAACGACUUUUCUCAGGCGGCCAAUGAAAGGUCCCACCCUGCUAAGGCGAAUAUGUGCUCGGAGCAUGUCCCGGUUGGCUUCAUCGCUGAGUGGAACGUUCAGAACAAAAGACCGUUCAAUGUCGGCUGCUUCAGCCUCAACGUCCCGACAGAAGUCUGCAAAGAAAAGACAAGCAGAAAGUAAGCGCGGAGUGAACUCCAAAGUCAAGAAGCACUACACAGUAACUUACCACCAAGCAGUGCAACCAUCUUCCUUGCCCAGUCGCUGACGUAGUUCUCCUGCGCCAUGCACCGAGUGUUCAUCACCUUCAAUUGGCCCAUCCAUUCGGAUCUCUGACUCUUCAGUUUUUCAACUUCGGCUAGCAAUGCCUUAUUGGUCUCCCGAGACUCCUCCAAAGACUUCUAUCGGUCAGCAAGAGCCUCCUUCACACCGGCCAGGUCAUUCACAGCCGCCUCCAAGUCCGCAACAAGCUGAAUCUUCUCAGCCUUCAGAGCAUUGUAUGCAGAUCCCAUUGCGCAAGUCUUCUGCCAAAUAGACACAAAGGGAAGGUCAGACACAUUCAACAAGGAAAAAGUAUCGACACAUGCCGAUGCAAAAAAAAACAAAGUCCAAAAUUCUUCAGACCCCUGCCGAAGCAAGCAAUCGACAGCGGUCUCGGGGACUACACCCAGUGGGUUCACUAAGAGUGAACCCACUAGUAUGAAGCUCAAAAAGGUCGGCCCUAUCGAGCUCCAUAGCAAACAAACAAAAUUAUGAGAUUACUAUUACUCGACACGAGUAACACUACUCUCGGAGACUACACCCAAUGGGUGCACUCGGAGUGCCCCCACUGGUACCAUUCGGGCAGAUCAGCUCUGAUCUGUUCAAGAUUACGGAAAAUACAUAUAAAGACAACUGCCGGUGCAAGCACUCGGCAGAAGUCUCGGGGACUACACCCACUGGGUUCACUCGGAGUGAACCCACUGCAAAAUCAUCCUACAGUAUCCGAGUAUAUCGCUGAAACCCCCAGCGGGUAACAAGGGGAAAGUAAACACUUACUAGCGCACUUACUCAGAUAUCGUCCCGGAGUUCCAAGCUUUUCUUGUACAAAGACGCGAUGGAGUCAUACGCUCCCUUGGCGUCACCCACCAUUAGCUCCACCUGCACCAUGCCGUCCUUGGCGGCCCCCACCUGGUCUUCCGGGAGGUGUUGGGCGUCGUAUUGAAUGGUUGACGGACCCGGCGCGACAGAAGACUCCCUGGGCAUCCCGAGCUCCGCUCCAGUCGGUUCCGCCGUGAGGGGCACCUCUCAGUCAGUGGCACCGUCUCAGUUGGCGGCACGUUCAUGGUGGGAGCAGUAGUAGAUGGGACAACCUCAAGGACAGGCGCCAGAGCUGGCUCCGACCCCCUUUGGUCGUCGUCCUCCAGAUGGAUCACCUCCGAAGGAAGCACGACUGAACAAAAUGGAAUUACAGAAAAAGGUCAAGAUCAAGGACAGCACCCGCAAAACAAUAAUACAAACUCUCGAAGUCGUGACAACGUACCUUGCUGGGACGUGGCGGCAUUAUCCGUGUCCAUAGGAUCAUCGUCCUGGCGAGGCAGAGAGGUGGCGGAGGUAGCGGCUCUGUUGAGUGAAAUCCACUCGACGGAUAAGCAUGAGUUCAAUGAGAUACUGAACAAAGAUGGAAGAACAAGACACUUACAUUGAGGCGACUUGAAUGGCGAUCAUCAUCCGAGGCAAAUCUUUCCGAGGCUUAGACCCACCAGGUUUGGCCACCUUGGACGGCUGGUCCGUGGGCUCGGCAGCAGCAUCCCUGGUCCUCUUCACACUCAGGGCACUCGGAGCCACGGGAGGGGCUGGCGGAGCACUCGGGGCCGCUGGAGGAGCCGACGGAGCAGCAGGAUCGUGGCGGCGCUUAGUUCGGUGCUCUGGUGGUGAAGGUGGCGAGCUCUGCUCCCCAUCCUCCUCCUCCUCCUCUUCCGUCUCCUCCUCCGUCUCCCCACUGUCGGAGACGUACUCGGCGCUAUCCACGCUCCCUCCUGGCUGCCCUCCUCUUCCUCGGCUGGAUUCCCGUUCAAGACGGCAGAAUGCUAGUUGGUCCACUCCUGCACAAAACACAGUCGGCAACGUCAGUCGGCGGGACAAGAAAAUCAAUAAAUAUAAGAAGAUUAAAAGCACUGGACAAGAUGUGCUCACCUCGUUCGGAGGAGGAUUGUCAGCGCGGAAGGGCUUCACCCGCCGGGCUCCUUCGGGGUUAUCACACGCGCCUGUGAUGCCGCGGACCCACGCUCUCACAGUCUCCCCGGUCACACACUCUGGAUGAGACCGAGUGGAAUCUGAAGGCCCCGUGUAGUGCCACAUGGCAUGGUGUCGAGCCUGCAGCGGCUGGAUGCGCCGACCCAGAAAAGUCUCCAGCAGAUCCAUGCCGGUGACUCCCUUGCGGACGACGGCUAUCAGCGCGUCGACCAAAGGCUGGAUCUGGACCCUUUCCCCCUUAGAGAGCGCAAGCUUCCUAGGAGGGCCCGGAUGGUCUAGGCUAAAAGGUGGCAACCCACUCGAAGCAUUCGGACAAGCAAUGUCCUGGCAAUAGAACCAGGUCGAUUGCCAGUUCCUAACUGACUCGGACAACUGGAGGGGCGGGUAGCUACUCUUUGUUUUCUUUUGGAAGCCUAAGCCCCCGCAGAGCUGGAGGAGAUGGGUCUUAUCGUUCGACUGGCUAAGCUUCUUGAUGGUUUGGGAUCUAGCGGAGGAGACGUACUUAUAGAGCCCCCAAUGGGGGGACAUCCAAUAAAGCACUCGCAAAGGGUGACGAAUGCAGCAAGGUGGGCUAUAGCGUUCGGAGGAAAAUAAUGGAGCUGCGCCCCGAAGUAAACCAUGAUACCUCGAAAGAAGGGGUGGGGAGGUAAGGAGAAGCCCCUGAACACAUGGCUGAGCAGCAGAACGCGCUCCCCCUCCUUCGGCGCCGGCUCCGUCUCGCCUUCCGACAGCCUCCAGGACUUGUUGACGAUCAGGCCAUGCUCCACCAGCUCCAGCAAAUCGUCCUCCGUCAUCGAGGAGGGGAGGAAAUCCCCCUGGAUCCAACCCGCCGGCAGCGCACGCUGUCGCCACUGAGCAGGGGCGGCCCCCUUCUUCUUCUUCUUCUNNNNNNNNNNNNNNNNNNNNNNNNNNNNNNNNNNNNNNNNNNNNNNNNNNNNNNNNNNNNNNNNNNNNNNNNNNNNNNNNNNNNNNNNNNNNNNNNNNNNNNNNNNNNNNNNNNNNNNNNNNNNNNNNNNNNNNNNNNNNNNNNUUCUUCUUCUUCUUCUUUUGCGACUCGAGUUUGCUGGUCUGGCCCUUCGUCAUGGCGAAGGAAACAGAUCCGCAGAGGAGGAGAGGAAGGAGGAGACUUGAGGUGUGCAGAGAGUUGCGGGAGGAGCGGGAUUAAUGCGAGGAAGAUGAGCAGCGUAACAGAGGAUCCCGCCGGAGAGGCUUAAAUAAGCUUCCGACUGGGUCACUAACAAGUGGACCCAAAAUCUUAUCUCCCCAACCGGCCGCUGCGAUGUUAGUGGGGACGAUAAAGGCGCGGUAAUCGAGGAGGCAAAACCUACUCGAUGAUGAUGUCGUCAUCCCCGCUGAGCGCGCGGCAACAGAAAUUUGAGGAUCCCGGAAAAUCCGACGCUGUCAAUUUGACCAGUCACGUCGAAAGAUUCCUCGGAAGCACUCGGUCCCUGAUGGUUCGUUUCAUUGAUAUAUUCACUCGGAUCACUGGUUGAAAGGAUAAAACGGAUCGAGGCAGACAACGCUGAAGUCACCUCUGUACCAGUCGGUUCCAUACUCCAGACAUCACUUCAUCGUUCCAACUGUUGGAAAUAUGCCCUAGAGGCAAUAAUAAAAUGGUUAUUAUCAUAUUUCCUUGUUCAUGAUAAUCGUCUAUUGUUCAUGCUAUAAUCCUAUUAACAGGAAACAAUAAUACAUGUGUGAAUAAAUAGAUCACAAUGUGUCCCUAGCAAGCCUCUAGUGGGCUAGCUCGUUAGUCAAUAGAUGAUCAUGGUUUCCUGAUCAUGGGCAUUAGAUGUCAUUGAUAACGGGAUCACAUCAUUGGGAGAAUGAUGUGAUGGACAAGACCCAAUCCUAAGCAUAGCAGUAGAUCGUAUUGUUCGUAUGCUAAAGCUUUUCUAAUGUCAAGUAUCUUUUCCUUCGACCGUGAGAUUGUGCAACUCCCGGAUACCGUAGGAGUGCUUUGGGUGUAUCAAACGUCACAACGUAACUGGGUGACUAUAAAGGUGCACUACGGGUACCUCCGAAAGUGUCUGUUGGGUUGGUAUGAAUCGAGAUCGGGAUUUGUCACUCCGUGUGACGGAGAGGUAUCUCUGGGCCCACUCGGUAGAACAUCAUCAUGAUCUCAAUGUGACUAAGGAGUUAGUCACACGAUAAUGUGCUACGGAACGAGUAAGGAGACUUACCGGUAACGAGAUUGAACAAGGUAUUGGUAUACCGACGAUCGAAUCUCGGGCAAGUUCUAUACCGACAGACAAAGGGAAUCAUAUACGGGAUUGAUUGAAUCCUUGACAUCGUGGUUCAUCCGAUGAGAUCAUCGUGGAGCAAGUGGGAGCCACCAUGGGUAUCCAGACCCCGCUGAUGGUUAUUGGCCAGAGAGGUGUCUCGGUCAUGUCUGCCUGUCUCCCGAACCCGUAGGGUCUACACACUUAAGGUUCGAUGACGCUAGGGUUAUAGGGAAUUGUUAUACGAGGUUACCGAAAGUUGUUCGGAGUCCCGGAUGAGAUCUCGGACGUCAUGAGGAGCUCCGGAAUGGUCUGGAGGUAAAGAUUGAUAUAUAGGACGGAUGGUUUCGGAUACCGGAAGUGUUUCGGGCAUCACCUGUAACGUACCGGGACCACCGGAGGUGGCCCCGGGGGUCCACCGAAGGGGGGGCAAUGACCCCGGGAGGUAAGGUGGGCCAAGUGGGGAAGGGAACCAGCCCCUAGGUGGGCUGGUACGCCUCCCCACUCAGCCCAAUGUGUGGGGGAGAGAAAGGGGGGGGGGAGGAAACCCUAAGCCAGGUGGGCCUAAGGCCCACCAAGUGGUGCGCCACCCCCUCCCCCCCUCUCGCCGCCGCACCUCCCAUCUGGGGGGGCUGCCGCACCACCUAGGGUGGGAACCCUAGGGGUGGCACCCCCACUCCCUUCCCCCUAUAUAUAUCAGGCACUUUUGGCCAUUGAGAGACAGACUUUUCCCUCUCCCUCGGCGCAACCCUGCCCUUCUUUCUCCUCCUGUCUGCCGGUGCUUGGCGAAGCCCUGCCGGGAGACCUCGUCUCUCCAUCGACACGACGCCGUCGUGCUGCUGGAGUUCUUCCCCAACAUCUCCUUCCUCCUUGCUGGAUCAAGGUGCGGGAGACGUCACCGGGCUGCACGUGUGUUGAACGCGGAGGUCCGUAGUUCGGCACUAGAUCGGAAUCACACCGCGAUGUGAAUCGCUGCGAGUAUGACUCCAUCAACCGCAUUCUAGUAACGCUUCCGCUUAGCGAUCUUCAAAGGUAUGAAGAUGCUCUUACCCCUCACUCGUUGCUGGUCUCUCCAUAGGAAGAUCUGAAUAUGCGUAGGAAAAUUUUGAAUUUAUGCUACGUUACCCAACAACAUAAAUAAGCUUCCGACUGGGUCACUAACAGGUGGACCCGAAAUCUUAUCUCCCCAACCGGCCGCUGCGAUGUUAGUGGGGAAGAUAAAGGCGUGGUAAUCGAGGAGGCAAAACCUACUCGAUGAUGAUGUCGUCAUCCCCGCUGAGCGCGCGGCAACCGAAAUUUGAGGAUCCCGGAAAAUCCGGCGCUGUCAGUUUGACCAGUCACGUCGAAAGAUUCCUCGGAAGCACUCGGUCCCAGACGGUUCGUUUCACUGAUAUAUUCACUCGGAUCACUGGUUGAAAGGAUAAAACGGAUCGAGGCACACAACGCUGAAGUCACCUCUGUAACAGUCGGUUCCAUACUCCAGACAUCACUUCAUCGUUCCAACCCCGAUCCAUUCGGGGACUAAUGAUGGGGUUAUAGUCCCAGGGUAGGGUCAUAGGCCUGCCCUAUAGGUCCUACCCAAGGACUACCCUUCAUAGAGGACAAGGCCCNNNNNNNNNNNNNNNNNNNNNNNNNNNNNNNNNNNNNNNNNNNNNNNNNNNNNNNNNNNNNNNNNNNNNNNNNNNNNNNNNNNNNNNNNNNNNNNNNNNNNNNNNNNNNNNNNNNNNNNNNNNNNNNNNNNNNNNNNNNNNNNNNNNNNNNNNNNNNNNNNNNNNNNNNNNNNNNNNNNNNNNNNNNNNNNNNNNNNNNNNNNNNNNNNNNNNNNNNNNNNNNNNNNNNNNNNNNNNNNNNNNNNNNNNNNNNNNNNNNNNUUUUCAUACACCAUUAUUAACAUUUGAGGCUUACGAUACCUGUAACGUAAGCAUUUAUUUUCCACUAUUCCACCCCUGUCCACCAGGCCAUUAUGAAGGGCAGCACACUCUAUAUAAGCCGCCCUUCCCCACUGGUGCGGGGGUUGGCUUUUACUAUAAUCCUAUAAUCCACUCGACACUAAAGCUCCCAAGAGCACUGAGAUGUAGGGCUUUUACCUCCACCGUAGAGGGGCCUGAACUCAUACAUCCUCGCCGUAGCUAAGGCUCUGCCCAUCCUUUCGUACCCUACACUUCUACUAUCAGACUUAUACCCACGACACCCACCGUCUACUUGCUUUCAUGAGAGAAGCCACUAGUGAACACUACGGCCCCGGGUCUAUUCACAACUAUCGUCUCCACUUUCACUUUUACUUUGCUUUGUUUUCCUUUUUGCUUUCAGUUCUCACUUUGCAAACAAUGUAUAAGGGAUUUACAACCCCUUCAUAGCGUUGGGUGCAAGCUCUUUGUGUUUGUGCACGUACUUGUGACCUGACGCGAUCCUCCCACUGGAUCGAUACCUUGGUUCUCAAACUGAGGGAAAUACUUACUGCCGCUGUGCUACAUCACCCUUUCCUCUUCAAGGGAACACCAACGCAAGGCUCCAAGGCCGCGGGGAAAUCCUUUGCAUAUUUUUCAAGGAAGUCCCUAUAAGCGUAGCCGUAGCAGCAGGAUUCCUGGCGCCGUUACCAGGGUAGGUCUGUUGUCGCAGUAGCAGACCCCGUGCGGCACGGCACUGGUGCAUCACCGGACCAAGAGCGGCUCCCCCCAGAUGCCGCUUCAAGAUUCCAUCAAGCAAUGGCAGAGGGGCUUUUUCUAUGUGACGAAUGCCAGCCCCACCCGCGACGCCCUCAACAUGCCCCCUUCGCCACUGAGCCUCCGACGACGAAGAAGAACUGGCAGUCCAAGUACCCCCGGCUGGUUCCCGAGGUAACGCAAAUUGGCGUCUACCUCGAUAGCCUGAAGGCUCGUGGCCUCGUAGGCCGCGAUCUCCUUACCACCAUGAUGGCCCGCAGGAUCCUGCCCCAGAGGCGGCCUCAUCUGAUAUGUCAGAUGAGUGGCCGACACGAUCCAUGCUGGCUCUCCACCAAGAAUUUCCACCCUGGAGCGGUAUCAAAGAACGUGAACAAGAUCUCCUCCGCUAACAUGGAUGAAGGAGGAGACUGGUAGUGGGGGUUGGUUCCCUAUGAUAGGAACCAUCCUCCCCUCAUGGUUAGUGUCUUCAUGAGUUUUGUACUUCUUUGUCUUUUUGAAACUGUUAUUUCUUCUCAUUGAGCCGGCUGCAAACUUGGUUGCAUCAGCUGUUUGAGAACCUGCAAAGGCUCGCCCCGCCGGCUCCCGACGUGGAGACGUCGGACCCCUCGGAGAUUGAAGACGAGGGGAUGAUCGAGUCGCGGGACGCCAUCUCGGAGGAGGCGUUGGAGUCGGAAGGCUCCGAGCCGUCUGGUGAGCACCUGAGGCCUCCCCUUGUUGCCUGGACGAACCAUGAUGCGACUCCGGCCUCUUCAUAUGAUGCAGCCUUCGAGGAGGAUGCCGAGGAGGCGGAGGAAGUCACCAGCCCUCCCCCGAUACGAGGCCGCCGCCAUACCGACGAGACGGCCGUUCCUGGCGAAGUGGCCAGGAACAAGGGUAAGGGUGCCACAGCUUCCAGGCCGGCCCCCAAACGCGUCGUGCCUGGACCUCCAACCGGAGGACGAGCAGGCGGCGCUAAGAAGCGUCGAGCCGGCGCCAGCAGGAAGCAGGUGCCCGUCGUGGCGGGGUAAGAGUCCUUCGCUGUUCUUUUUUAGUUUUGUCGAGUGAGGAUAGGUUCCUCAAAUCAUGCGUGGCAGGGAGGCAGAAGACGUGGAGGAAGAAACUGCCUCCGCCGCCGAACGGGCCGGCUGGGCAGCAGCCGAGGCUACCCAGAAGGCUCUUGACGAUCAAUCCGCCCGUUGCUGGGAGGUGGCCGCGAAGAAGAUGGUCGCAGGCCAAUCUCAGCCCAGCCGGGCUGAGAAGCCUAGGGAGAAGCGUACGAAGGCUAGACAUGAUGUAACGACUAAGAUGCGGUCCUUUUCGAUUUAGGGAACGAGGCCCCAAAUUGGAAAUAAGCGCAUCUAAGCGUUUCACAAGCACGGUAACAUAGCACAUACAUAAUAUCAGAGUUUACAUCACGCAUCCAAACAAGGUAGUUCCGCUACGGACUACAUAACAUGAGAAAAGGCUAUGCUACCCUGCAUGCAUGCCCACAAUCACGACCACGCCUUAGUCUUCUAGAUAGUUCACGUACAAGCGGUCGGUCUCCUCAUCGUGCUGCCACGCCAGCUGCGUGCCGUCGGGAUCGCCUGUGUCGGGCGUACCUGUACCUGUUGGUGUUUUGAAGGAAUCUGUGAGCCACGGGGACUCAGCAAUCUAUGACCUCGGUGCCAGAACUAGUCAAGUUAUUGGGUAAGGAAGGUGGAGUAUUUAGGUUGCAGCAUCCUAAGCAUAUAUGGUGGCUAACUUACGUAGAACAAGUAUUGAAGGUGGUCUAUACUAGCGAUCGAUGAUUAGCUGAGCACUAAGUGAUCCUGAACACCUACUUACGUCAAUCAUAACCCCACCGUGUUCCCGAUCGAAGAGAGGUCUCCGAAGGGGACAGUCACGGUUACACACACAGUUGGCAAUUUUAUUAGAUUAUGUUCAAGUUAUCUAUAACCGGAUGUUAACAAAUAUUCCAAGUUGCAACAUAAUCGCGGGCACGUCUUUCCGAAAGAUUAAACCCUGCAGGGGUGCUUCAACUAGUCCAUCGCAAACGGUCACGGGCCGCAAAGUAAUCCUCUAUCACAAAUCUCGUGAUCUCGUCGGAUUCCUUAGAGGAAAACCUCAUCUCUGGGGAGAACCAAAGCUUCACCGGGAUUCCUAUACGCAAGAUAUGUCGCUAAGGUAAGACAAGACUAGCAGGAUCUCCCGGUGUGUCAACGACCCUGAUAAGAGCCGCUUAUCUCAGUCUCAGGACAACACCGUCUAUGCAUAGUGGAGAAUGACCAAACCUCAAAAUUCCCUGAGGUGGUAUUGCCGACUGCUAGGUGGGUGGACCAACACUCAUGAGGAGCACUGGCCCGGGUUGUUGAUUAAUUCCUCAGGUAGCUAUUCCUUAUGCAAAUUAUUAUUAAUUGAUUAGCAAUUAAAACCAAUGUUGGGUCGUGCCGGACAAGUCUUAACACUACACAAUUUAUCAAGGGGGUCCCCAUAACAACCCCGAACGUGUUAGGAGCGAUCAGUUAUGGAAUCAAACACCGGUAGCCGGUAACUGUGGCGGCAAUAACUGAACAAAAUACCCAGCAAGAGGCUAGGCCUUCCGUUAUUUACCAAUUAUAUAGGUGCAUUAAUUAAAUAACAGAUUUUACAUAAUGAUAUCAAACUCAUGUUAUCACAUGAGACAAAGCACCUGCAACUAGCAACGCUAACAUUAGUAGCUGAGCAAAGCCUACUUAGCCAUUCAAGAUUUGCUACGAAGGGAUAAGUGUUUAGGUUUCAAAUUUCAGGAGGCAUUUAUUUCAGUGGUAGGCAGCGAGCAUAUGACAAAGGAAACAUGAAUCUAGCAUAAUAAGUUUAGAGAUGGAAUCAAGGUCAUAUCAUCUUGCCUGUGAUGUCCUCAGCUUGGAACUGCUCUUGUUCGUCCUGCACGUACUCUCCCGAAUCCACAUACUCGUUCUCCGAUCCUGGUGCUACCCAAUAUAAGAAUAACAUCCAAUGAACAACAACACCACAAGAUGCAACAAGCACAUGAUGCAUGAGAUGAAAUGAACAUGCAUCUCUACUCUAGUCACUUGCACAAGCAUGCGAAGAAAAUACAAGUUCCUGGACAGAACUGCACUCUAAGCUAUCUUGACAUGCAUGAGUAUGACAUGAACAGAUACGUCACGCGAAAACGAUGCAAAACCAUAUAAAGAAUGUUACAAACGGAGCCACAGAUCAACGGGAAAUAACAAAACAAGAAAUGAAGUACUACGUAUCAAUACCAUCACCACACACUCUAAUGGCAUACUUCUGGUAUUCCCAGGUUGCCAUAUCACAAAACAAACAAGAACGGAUGGGGUGGUGCAAGGAAUAUCACCACACCAUCAACUAUGCACUCACAAGCAACAAAACAUCAUAACUACACAAUCUAUCCUAAUAAGCAUCAUAGCAGUUUGAGGGCUACAUGCAAAGCACCUACAGCCACCCAAAUAUGCCAAAUAGUAUAUGUGGCAGAAGCUAUACAAAACCUCUACAAGCAUGAGCAAAAAGAUAUUGCAAAGGAGUUCCACACAGAAAGUUACACAUCUCCUAACUUGGCCAAAAUAUCAGUUUUCAGGGACUUACUGAAAAUUCCAGAUUCUCACUAGCUGUUUAUGCUCUGAAGCAUUUUGACAGCACCCAAAACAAUAUCUACAGGACUCCAAAAGGAAUGAAGAUUUACAGAGAGCUAGACAAACACAAAAGUUAUAACUUUCCAGUUGAUAGCCAGGGCUGAUUCCCAACACAUGGACUUCUACAAGCACAACAACAAGAGAAGAAAAUAUAAGCAGAUUCUCAGACUUAGUGAAAAUCACAGAUUUUCACUAAACUUCUACAAGCACAACAACAGGAUAAGUAUGUUAGACUUAUAUAUGUCUGUCACUUGUUUCAUGAUGCUCUCUUCAUGUCCGAUUGCUAUCUUUUAUAUGAGCAUCAUUGAAUUUUCAAUGCCUAGCUAAGGGCGUUAAACAAUAGCGCUUGUUGGGAGGCAACCCAAUGAAUAUAUAUUUUUAUUUCUGUUUUGUUGCAUCCACACCAUCAUAAUUCUGUCAUGAUUGUUUUUUUGUGUUUGAGCCAAGCAAAACCUUUAUGACUAGUUUUGGUGAUGGUUGUUUGAUCCUCCUGGAAAAAGACAUAAACUUUUCGCUCACAAAAUUAUUUUUAGUUUUUAUUCCGAAAGAGAUUUUGAGUUGAUUCUUUUUGCUGCUGCUUGAUAUGCCUUUUUCCCAGGCUGUCGUAAUUUUUCCGAUUUUUUUAGGUACCAUAAUUAUACGAAGUGUACAGAUUGCUACAGACUGGUCUGUUUUUGUCAGAUUCUGUUUUUGUUGAGUUGGUUGCUUGUUUUGAUGAAACUAUGGAUAGUAUCGGGGGGGGGGGUACUAGCCAUGUAAAAGUGAGAAUAUAGUAAUCUAACACCAAUAUAAAUAGAAAUCAAGAUUGCUAAAGUACCUAAAGAGGUGGUAGUUUGUUUUCUUGUGCUAAUGAUAUCAUGAGUUUCUGUUUAAGUUUUGUGUUGUGAAGUUUUCAUGUUUUGGGCGAUGUUCUCAUGGACAAUGGGAUAAAGAGUGGAAAGAGCUCAAUCUUGGGGAUUCCCAAGGCAUCCCAAGCCAAAUUGAAGGACACCAAAAAUCCUAAGCUUGGGGAUGCCCCGGGAAGGCAUCCCCUCUUUCGUCUUUAAUCCAUCGGUAACAUUACUUGGAGAUAUUUUUUUAUUCACCACAUGAUAUGUGUCUUGCUUUGAGCGUCUUGUAUCGUAGGAGUCUUUUCUUUUUGUUGUGUCACAAUCAUCCUUGCUGCACACCUUUUGAGAGAGACAUGCACCCAUCAUGAAUUUGCUAGAAUGCUCAUUGUGCUUCACUUAUAUCUUUUGAGCCAGACCAUUUUGCUCUAUGUGCUUCACUUAGAUCUUUUAGAGCACGACGGUGCGUAACUUGGUAGUUGGCUUAUGCUAUGAAAGUAGUCCCAAAGGUGAUAGGUACCCAAAGAGGAUACAAUAAAACCUCCAUCUUCAUGUGCAUUGAGUAGAAAGAGAAGUUUUGAUUCCUCUCAAUUAGUUUUGAGACGUGGAUUUGGUAAUAUUAAGAGUUAUGUUAGUAGGGUGUUGUGAAUCUAGAAAUACUUGUGUUGAAGUUAGUGAUUCCCGUAACAUGCACGUAUGGUGAACCACCAUGCUAGGAAGUCGGAGCAUAAUUAAUCUAUUGAUUGUCAUCCUUUGUGUUGCGGUCGGGAUCGCGCGAUGGUUUACACCUACCAACCCUUCCCCUAGGAGUAUGCGUUUAGCACUUUGUUUCGAUUACUAAUAAAAACUUUCGCAACAAGUAUGCGAGUUCUUCAUGACUAAUGUGAGCCCAUGGUAUAGAUGCACUUUCACGUUGCACCAUUGCUAGCCUCUCUAGUACUGCGCAAUUUUCACCGGUGCACAAACCCACCAUAUGCCAUCCUCAAAACAGCCACCAUACUUACCUACUAUGGCAUUUUCAUAGCCAUUCCGAGAUAUAUUGCCAUGCAACUCCCACCGUUCCGUCUCAUGACUUGCGCCGUCACUCUCAUAUUUCCAUUGCAUGAUCCUAAGAUAGCUAGCGAGAUGUUUCAACAUCAUACGCCAAGCUAGAUCUUUGCACAUCCCGGUACACUGUCGGAGGCAUUUCCUAUAGAGUCAUCAUCGUUCUAAGCUUUGAGGUGUGAGUAAAUAAAAGUUUGAUGAUCAUCAUUAUUAGAGCAUUGUCCCAUGUGAGGAAAUAAAAAAAAAUAGGCCAAAGUUGCCCACACACAAAAAAAGA